rnacentral:misc_RNA from 1 species
CUGCAGGAAGUGCAGAACUUGGAGCCUUAUUAGGAAGCAAACUCUGUAAUGUUUCUGAAGCUAAACUAGCAGAGAGCACUGGGGGUAAAGUUGAAGGCAAAGUUGAUGGUGCUGAAGAAGUGGAUGCUAAAUUAAGGGAACUAGUACCACUACCAACAGAAAGCAAAGGAGACUGAAUAUCUGGUAAGGAAGCUGGAAAGUUUGAAACCGGUAAGUUUGAAGUUGGCAAGUUUGAAACCGGCAAGUUUGAGGCUCCAGUGGGUAAAGGGGCAUU